GGACUACUCGGGUAUCUAAUCCUGUUUGCUCCCCACGCUUUCGUGCCUCAACGUCAGGAAUGAGCCAAGAAGCUGCCUUCGCCAUUGGUGUUCCUCCUGAGAUCCACGCAUUUUACCGCUACUCCAGGAAUUCCACUUCUCUCUCUCACCCUCUAGCAAACCAGUUUUCAUUGCGAUCCUCCAGUUAGGCCGGAGUCUUUAACAACGAACUUAAUAAACCGUCUACGCACUCUUUACGCCCAGUAAUUUCGAAUAACGCUUGCACCCUUCGUAUUACCGCGGCGGCUGGCAC
rnacentral:rRNA from 1 species